rnacentral:rRNA from 1 species
UGGGGAAUUUUGGACAAUGGGGGAAACCCUGAUCCAGCCAUCCCGCGUGUGCGAUGAAGGCCUUCGGGUUGUAAAGCACUUUUGGCAGGAAAGAAACGUCAUGGGUUAAUACCCCGUGAAACUGACGGUACCUGCAGAAUAAGCACCGGCUAACUACGUGCCAGCAGCCGCGGUAAUACGUAGGGUGCAAGCGUUAAUCGGAAUUACUGGGCGUAAAGCGUGCGCAGGCGGUUCGGAAAGAAAGAUGUGAAAUCCCAGAGCUCAACUUUGGAACUGCAUUUUUAACUACCGGGCUAGAGUGUGUCAGAGGGAGGUGGAAUUCCGCGUGUAGCAGUGAAAUGCGUAGAUAUGCGGAGGAACACCGAUGGCGAAGGCAGCCUCCUGGGAUAACACUGACGCUCAUGCACGAAAGCGUGGGGAGCAAACUGG